rnacentral:rRNA from 1 species
UACGGAGGGGACUAGCGUUGUUCGGAAUUACUGGGCGUAAAGCGCGCGUAGGCGGAUUUGCAAGUCGGGGGUGAAAGCCCGAGGCUCAACCUCGGAACUGCCCUCGAUACUGCAAAUCUCGAGUCCGAGAGAGGUGAGUGGAAUUCCUAGUGUAGAGGUGAAAUUCGUAGAUAUUAGGAAGAACACCAGUGGCGGAAGGCGGCUCACUGGCUCGGUACUGACGCUGAGGCGCGAAAGCGUGGGGAGCAAACAGG